AACGAACGCUGGCGGCAGGCUUAACACAUGCAAGUCGAACGCACCGCAAGGUGAGUGGCAGACGGGUGAGUAACACGUGGGGAUCUGCCCAAUGGUACGGAAUAGCUCCGGGAAACUGGAAUUAAUACCGUAUGAGCCCGCAAGGGGAAAGAUUUAUCGUCAUUGGAUGAACCGGCGUCGGAUUAGCUAGUUGGUGUGGUAAAGGCGCACCAAGGCGACGAUCCGGAGCUGGUCUGAGAGGAUGAUCAGCCACACUGGGACUGAGACACGGCCCAGACUCCUACGGGAGGCAGCAGUGGGGAAUAUUGGACAAUGGGCGCAAGCCUGAUCCAGCCAUGCCGCGUGAGUGAUGAAGGCCUUAGGGUUGUAAAGCUCUUUCGCCGACGAAGAUAAUGACGGUAGUCGGAGAAGAAGCCCCGGCUAACUUCGUGCCAGCAGCCGCGGUAACAC
rnacentral:rRNA from 1 species